rnacentral:rRNA from 1 species
GACGAACGCUGGCGGCGUGCUUAACACAUGCAAGUCGAACGGAAAGGCCCUGCUUUUGUGGGGUGCUCGAGUGGCGAACGGGUGAGUAACACGUGAGUAACCUGCCCUUGACUUUGGGAUAACUUCAGGAAACUGGGGCUAAUACCGGAUAGGAGCUCCUGCUGCAUGGUGGGGGUUGGAAAGAUUCGGCGGUUGGGGAUGGACUCGCGGCUUAUCAGCUUGUUGGUGGGGUAGUGGCUUACCAAGGCUUUGACGGGUAGCCGGCCUGAGAGGGUGACCGGCCACAUUGGGACUGAGAUACGGCCCAGACUCCUACGGGAGGCAGCGGUGGGGAAUAUUGCACAAUGGGCGGAAGCCUGAUGCAGCAACGCCGCGUGCGGGAUGACGGCCUUCGGGUUGUAAACCGCUUUCGCCUGUGACGAAGCGUGAGUGACGGUAAUGGGUAAAGAAGCACCGGCUAACUACGUG